ensembl:lncRNA
GAAAGGGUUGGGGGAGGGAACUGUGGCCUUAAGAGAGAAAAGAAGAAUGCGGACCCCUCCGUCCAGGGCUGGAGAGGCCAGGCCUAAAAAGGAAUAAAGAGGCGAGGCUCAGAGAGAAGGAGAGAGGGAGGGGCGUAAGGACCCCAAGCCCAAGGAGAAUAAAGGAGGAGAGGGGGAUGGAGAUUUCAGACCCAGGGAGCAGAUGAGGAAGGGGUAGAGAUCCUAACCUUAGUGAGGGAAGGGGAAGGAGCUGAAGUCAUCAGCCUCAGAGGAAAAGACAAGACCCCUUCCCUCCCCUCAAAUCUGUGGGAAGGAAAGGAACUGCCAGCCGUACUGAGAGAGUCUCAAGGACAUGCGACCUAAACUCCCAGCUGGGGCCCCAGCUGCUAUUCGUCUUCAAGAGCGAUGGAGGCAGACCCUAAGCACAAUUGUGAGAAAGGAGGUUCGUCUUCGGUACACAGGCCCCUGGGAUGGUGAGAGUAAGCCGUAUCUGGUCAGUCUGCCCCCACCUGUCUAGACAGGACUAGAGGGGAAGUGAAUAGAACCCCCUAGAAGUGCGAACCAUCGCAUGUCAGAGCUGUAAGGAGCCUUAAAAUUCGGCCCGUUCAUGUUCCUCCCUUUGUAAAGGAGAGAACCAAGAUGCAGAACGGGGAAAGCCCUUGCCAGAUCACCACAGGUCGGGCCUGGACUUGGCAUCUAGGCUGAACAGCGGUGCUUCUAGGCAGUAGCCCAGCCUCUCCAGUGGCUGAAGAGGCUGUGGGAGUGUGCCUGCCCUCCACUCCACCCUACCCACCUCCAGAGAACAGGAAACUCUGCCUUUUGAUUCCCCUCUGUCUCACAAAGGAAGUGUUGACCUUUAGGGGUGGUGAGUCUUCAUUGGGAGCCAAACAUUUGGGCCACACAGUGAGGAUGAAGAAGUUCCCAUUCCCAUCGUUUUCCCUUCACUGUCCCAAACGUUGGUCAGGAAGUCAGACUUGGUCUGGCCCUGACCUGCUGUGGUUUGAAGCAUCAUAAUUUAGUAUUCAUUAUGUGUCAGGGGAAACCUAGAAAAUCAUCCCCUCCCGCUUCUGCUUUCCACAGCUCUGUCAUCUCCCAACCUCAAACAGUGGAUUUCAGAAAAAUAGGCAAAGCCUGAGGUACCCCUCACACCAAGGGUAUUCUGAGCUACUUCAGGAUCCUGUGGAAAAGCUGCAUUAUAAUCGAUAGCCUCAUAAAUAAAUGAAGAGUCAACGCAGCCUGUCUCCUCCAGCUCAGGGCAUCUUCAGGAAAAUCGAACCUCGAGCCACUUCUGCUCACCCAUUCUGGAUUUCUACAGAGGCCUCCAGAGGGAAGGAAUCUUACAGGUCAUCCUGAGCAUCCCCCUGCCUCUGGGCUGGCCUGCCAUGUACCCCAUCCAAGGAGGUCUGCUUGCCACCCCUACCCAGGAAGGCCUGCCCUCUCCUGGCAGACUCCCUUCUCCCAGUCCCCUGGGGCUCUCACUGUGAGUUCUUGCUCACCUUCAUUCUCUUGCUCCUGGUGAACUCCCCCUCUCCUUUCCACCCGGGCCAUUUGCUUCUCACCACUCCUGAUUUCUGACUAUUGCUUGGCACCAAACAGGAUCAGCAGCAGGAGGAAGGGAGUCACUCCCCACUCCUCUGGAGUCUCCUCUCCAUACUCACCCCUCCGACUUCUUGUCAUCAAUUGUAAAUGGGCCCCUUGGGAUCUGACAGAGUAUGCAUUUCUGGAAGCAAUGGACAAAGACCCUUGUAACUUUACAGAACAGAUACGUGCCAGUAAGUUGACUGCAAGGCAAUCCUUCCUCUCUCUGCCUUCUAUUACAUCACUGGAGAUGUUCUUCUCGUGGGAAAAAGGAAAUCUCCAACAAGGAAGUUCAAUAUUUUGGAAUCCAAAGACCAAGAGGGUGGUCAGCCCUGUGUGGUGAUGGGCGUCAGCCUUCUGGGUUCCUUGAAACACCUCAGGACCUCUCCUCUGUUUGAUGCCUUGGUUUCCCCUCCGCUUCCCUGGCCCAGACAGAGAACACUCCCAUGGCUAAGGAUUCUUAAGCGCUGCUUGGGUAGUUAGCAUGGAGAAAGGAGUCAUCUGGUUGUGACAGCCCUCUGUAUUCGUAAUUAUUGACCACCAUGCUCCAGUUGAUCCCUGGGGGCUGAAAACUCCUUUAAUUAAAGGUUUCUGACUACAAGAUACUAUAUCCC